GCUUGGUCCUAUUUUCUCUUAACUGCCAACCGAGAAAUGUCAUCUGUUAUGUGUGUUUUGAUAUGCUUCCAAGAGACAGAGCUAUAGAGUCCCAGAUAUAAACAGCUGAUGACUACUGGAACAAGAACGGGAGAGGGAAGACUGGAAACUGAUACUCUGAAAGUCAGUGCCAUCUCUCAAAGGGAGGAAGACAGAGAAGCAAUCAAGUGGAUACUACUCCUUUCAAUGAGAACACACCUCAUUGCUCUGUGCACUCAUCAAGUUCACGGCAUAUUCACAUGUGUGAGAAGAGACAGCGCAAGGAAGAGAUCAACUACAUAUUCAUAAGAAUGAGGGGGGAAAUGGAUUCGAUCUUUCAGUUAAUUUGUCCAUUAAAAGCAAGGGUACUUCUUGCAGCAUCAGAAAAACAAAGAAAUAGAGAACACAUGUACCUAAAAUAUUAAACAAUCUUCCAAAGCA